UCCCUGGUAGCUCAGCUGGUAAAGGAUCUGUCUGCAAUGCAGGAGACCCUGGUUUGAUUCCUGGGUUGGGAA
rfam:TPA: Bos taurus chromosome 17, whole genome shotgun sequence.